AUGCGUGGGAAUAUGCCCUUUGGUAUGGAAUAGCCCCUGGAAACGGGGAGUAAUACCGUAUGUGCCCUACGGGGAAAAGAUUUAUCGCCAAAGGAUUAGCCCAUGUUGGAUUAGCUGGUUGGUGAGGUAAAAGCUCACCAAGGCGACGAUCUAUAGCUGGUUUGAGAGGAUGAUCAGCCACACUGGGACUGAGACACGGCCCAGACUCCUACGGGAGGCAGCAGUGGGGAAUAUUAGACAAUGGGCGAAAGCCUGAUCUAGCCAUGCCGCGUGAGUGAAGAAGGCCCUAGGGUUGUAAAGCUCUUUCAGAUGUGAGGAUGAUGACAGUAACAUCAGAAGAAGCCCCGGCUAACUUCGUGCCAGCAGCCGCGGUAAUACGAAGGGGGCUAGCGUUGUUCGGAA
rnacentral:rRNA from 1 species